UGACACAUAGGCUGCGUGUGUGCUGA
rnacentral:piRNA from 1 species